rnacentral:rRNA from 1 species
AUUGAACGCUGGCGGCAGGCUUAACACAUGCAAGUCGAGCGGAGAUGAGGUGCUUGCACCUUAUCUUAGCGGCGGACGGGUGAGUAAUGCUUAGGAAUCUGCCUAUUAGUGGGGGACAACAUUCCGAAAGGAAUGCUAAUACCGCAUACGUCCUACGGGAGAAAGCAGGGGAUCUUCGGACCUUGCGCUAAUAGAUGAGCCUAAGCCGGAUUAGCUAGUUGGUGGGGUAAAGGCCUACCAAGGCGACGAUCUGUAGCGGGUCUGAGAGGAUGAUCCGCCACACUGGGACUGAGACACGGCCCAGACUCCUACGGGAGGCAGCAGUGGGGAAUAUUGGACAGUGGGGGGAACCCUGAUCCAGCCAUGCCGCGUGUGUGAAGAAGGCCUUAUGGUUGUAAAGCACUUUAAGCGAGGAGGAGGCUACUGAGACUAAUACUCUUGGGUAGUGGACGUUACUCGCAGAAUAAGCACCGGCUAACUCUGUGCCAGCCGCCGCUGUAAUAC